AUAUAUUCUGUUAAAGACAGUCCUUCGCGUAAAUUGCUUCGAAUGGGUAAAUCGAUCAUUUGUCCUUGGGGAUCCGACAUUAAUCCUCUUAUACCUACUAAUUGGUGCACUUGAGAUGCAUUUCCUCUAGCUCCUGAAAAAGACAUUAUAUGGACUGGGUUAAACGGGUCAGUCAUCCUAAAAUUAGGAUUCAUUUCUUGUCACAAAUAUUCACUUGUAGCAUACCAUAUCUCAAUUGAUUGGCAUAAUUUUUCUACCGCGUGUACAUUCCCAAAAUGAUGGUGUUUUUCCAAAAUCAAACUUUGUUGUUCAGCAUCUUGGACUAGCCAUCCCUUAGAAGGUAUCGUUAAAAGAUCAUCAAUUCCUAAUGAAAUGGAUAUAUGUGGCAGACCUAAUUUGACCCUAGUCGGAAUGUGGUUUCAGGACCACAAAACCGAGUCAUAAAAAUUUACUUUCAUUUUAAUUGCAUAUAUUUGAUGUGUAAUAGUGUGUGUAUGAAAAAUUAAUGUUUUAAUUUAUUCUUAGGAAUGUGAAUUUUCUUGAAAGGACUUAGUUGAGAAACUUAGAAAAGAUGAUAGGUAAAUUGUAAGGAUCAAAUAACAACAAGGUGAGAAAACUUGGGUUUGCAUGUCAAAUUGCCCAAAACUCAAGUAGUGGCCGGCCAAGCAAGGAUGGUUCUUCCACUAGGUUGAAUUUUUAAUGUAAUGCUUUUAUUAGUAAAUGGUUAAAAUAAAUUAAAGAAAGGAAAGAUGAAUAAAAUAAGAAAGCAAGAGAAAGUCUUCAUCUUCUUUCUUUUUCAACUGCCGUGAGCUAGGAGAAAGGAGGAAGAAAUGUUCUAAGACAUUCGGCCAUCCUAAGGGGUUGAUUAAGGUAGGAUUCAUGUUAGUUUUGUUAAAGUUUUUGUGAAAAUCUAGUUAGUAGCCAAUGUCUUAUUAUAUCCCAUAUGUUAAUUUUCUACCUAAAUAGGUAAUUAAAUGGCAUACGGUUAGGGAGAGGUAAAUGCUAAGAGUAUGGUGCUUUUGAUGUUAUGAAUGGAAAUAGUAGAAAGGUGAAAGAAAAUUUAGGUAGAAAUGUAGUUAUAUGUGGAUUUAUAUGAUGUUACAAAUAGAUGUGAAGCUAUGCUAGAUUAGGAAAAAUUCGGUCAAGUGUUCAUGAGAGGAAACUAUGUGUUUAAAAGAAUAAAAAUGAUAUUAUAAUUGAUAGUAUAUGUAUUCGGCCAUCUAAUUAAGUGUAUAGGUGAUGUUAAAUCUAAUUUUUGCACAUUCGGCUAUUUAAGUAUGCCCAUUUGUGAUAUUACCUUUGAUUGUAUAAAAUCGACUAAAAUGAGUAAUUAGUAAGGGGGGUUGCCUAAUAUACAAAUAUGUAUAUAUGUAUGUGUAAUUGGAUUAUUGAUAGUAAGGUGAUAUUAUAUGGUUAUUAGCCGAAUGGCUCAAAAGCAUAAGGUAGAAAGAUAAAAAUUUACUAUGUGUUUCUUAUGAUAUGAAAUCAUUACUAUUUUGAUAUAAAUAUUUAGCAAGACGGUUAAACUAGUUUAACUUAUUCGAUUAAGCUCAAGAAGUUAAAGGAGGGGAAUCAAGCAAGGGCAAAGCAAAGAACAUCGAGUAGCCGAGUUGGAACCGUUUUACCCAACACAAGGUAAGUCCUUAAGCAUUUUUGUAAGGUUGAUUAGUUUGUAUAUAAAUAAUACUAGUGAAUCAUAAAAGAAUUCCUUUUGAUGAGUAUUCUUUUGGAGUGAUUUUCCUAUUUAUUAAUGUGACCAUAUAUGCUAUUUGAAUUAAGUAAAUUGCCUCAUCAUAAUGAGUUAACAUACGGCACUAUGUGUGCGGAAUUAAGUGGCACUAUAUGUGCUGAUUUGGAUGUUGAAGCAUGAGAGAAAAUCCAAUGCACUGAGUGUGCGGGUUACUAUGGCACUAUGUGUGCGAGUGUGACGAGCACUAUGUGUGCAAAUAUGGUUGAUAAUAUAAAGUGUGCAUGAAAGAAUGAAGUGGUAGAACUAGUAACUAAAAUAUCGAACUUGAGACAUGUGCUGAGUAGGUAUAAAUUUAUCUAGUGCAUCAUGAUUCCAUGCUUUGAGGAAUCGGGUCUAAAUCAAUGGGGUUGUUUUGGUAUUUGAUUUGAUUGUAGGACUUGGCAUGAGAUUGAAUCGAAAUUCUAAGAAAAUAUAGCAUAGUUCGGUAUGGUUGGAGUAACUGAUUUUGCAUUAUUUGCUUUCUCUUAUGAUCUUUUAUAAAUGGACGGUAUGUAAGGCUUAUGACUUACUGAGUUAUAUACUCAUUUGGUGUGUUUGUUUGUUACUUAUUUAGGUUUCUUUGACCCAUUUUGUGUGCUCGGAACCAUCGUCGAAGUCAUCACACCAGCUUGCAACUUUUUGGUACCCUCUUCUUAGUUGGUCUAAGAAAACAUUUCGGCAUGUAUAGGCUAUUAUGUUUUGUUUGAACUUUAAUAUGUAAAAUUUUAGCCAUGCGAAUAUGGCUUAAAUGCUAAGUUUGGAUUUGGCCUCAUGGGUGCUUAGUUAUAAGGUUCAGUAAGUUUGGCCUUGAUAAUUCGGUUUUGAUUGAGUAAUAGUCUAAGUCUAUUUGAUUAUUAUGCCGUAUGUCAUGGCUGAUCAUUUUUGGUGUUACACUUAUGAUAUGGUUAUUGAGUAGUAUGGAAAUUCUUGGUAAUGACUAGCCAUUGGAAUGGCUAAUCAUGAUCAUAUUUGGUGUUAUGUAUGUCAAAUUACUAGCUAAUCCAUGGAAAUCAUGAAAUAGGUAAAUUUUUACCAUAAAAUAGAUUCAGACAACAGUUGUGAUGUGAAUUUGAAAAAUUACUAGAAAUAGUAUAAAUGGAAUUAAAUAAUGAAUAAAUUAUGGAAUCGAAGCUUGAUGAGUCUAUUUUCAUAUGGAAGAAGGAAAACAGGUAUAUGAGCUAUAAUUUAUGAGAUGUUUAAAUUUUUGUGAAACAGGGCUAGAGCGAUUUCUGGAUCCCCUGUUCUGACUUUGGAAAUUCACCAUAAAAUUUAGAAAAAUAAUUAGAAGUAAUGCCUUAUAUGUAAAAAUUCAUUAUUGAGACUAGUUUUAUUAGAGACAAACGGCAUAGGAAUUGAAGCCCUGUACAUGGAGAUAUCUAAUUCGUAAUGCAUAGAGGUCAGAGUAGUCGAACCCUGAUACAGGGGACACUUUAACUAAUAAACUGUACUAAUUGGCCCGACCAAAAAUUCUACAAAUAUUUUUAUUAGAUAAAUAUAUGAGUCUAGUUUCAAGAAAAAUUUACGGAAUUGGAUUUCGAGUUACGGAACUCGAGAUAUGAUUUUUAAAGCGACUGUGAUGCAAUUAGCCAGCUUGUCUAGAAAAUUUUAAAAUGGAUUAUAUGAGCUGUUUAGGUAAUGAAUUAAGCCCGUUAACACCUUGUGUUCGACUCCGGCAACGGUCUCGGGUACGGGGUGUUACAUUUUAUUAGUAUCAGAGCUAUAGUUUAGUCAGUUCUAGGACUACCAUAGCGCGUAUGAGUCUAGCUAUACAUGCCUUAAUGUUAGUAUUUGAUAGUGUGAUGACUUCUAAAUGUCGAAAUUAUUGUUUUGAUUAGUAAAUGGAACCCAAUCUAGAGAGAACCUUAGCGGAUGAUGUUGAAAGUGUAGCGGCUGCUCCUGCGCAAGGGACACCGCCUGUUGAACCUUAAUCAUCCACGAAUAAUCAAGAUGAUGGGGCAAAACAAGCCUUCUUUACCAUGAUGAAUGAGUGGGUCGCACAAUAUGACCGAACUAACGAGGCUGCUCAACCAUUUCCAAAUUUAAAUAAUUCGCCUCAGGUGCCUAUAAUACCACAAGAUACUGAUCCUGUAAGGCCGAGUAAACCUCUUGUGGAUUUGAUUAGGAAGUGCAGGGCCGAGGAAUUCCGAGCUAUAGCUACUGAUGAUGCUGAAAGGGCUGAGUUUUGGCUUGAUAACACCAUCCGAGUUUUUGAUGAGCUGUCUUGCACACUUGAUGAGUGUCUAAAGUGUGCCAUAUCUUUGUUACGAGACUCAGCCUACUAUUGGUGGAGAACCUUGAUUACUAUAGUCCCGAAGGAACGAGUUACUUGGGAUUUCUUCCAAACGGAAUUUCGAAAGAAGUAUAUUAGUCAACGAUUCAUGGAUCAAAAGCGUAAAGAAUUCUUGAAGCUCAAACAAGGUCGUUUGACAGUAUCUGAAUACGAACGUGAGUUUGUAAGACUCAGCCGAUAUGCUCAGGAGUGUGUAGCUGAUGAAAUUGCUAUGUGUAAGAGAUUUGAAGAAGGAUUGAAUGAAGAUUUAAAGCUACUAGUGGGUAUUUUAGAGAUAAAAGAAUUUGUAACACUAGUUGAACGAGCUUGCAAGGCAGAAGAACUUGGAAAGGAGAAAAAGAAGGCUGAAUUUGAAGCUAGAGACUUUCGUAAAACAUUGGCGGGUAAAACUUCAUUCUCGGCUGUAAAGAAGUUCAGGGAAUAUACUAAUAAAUUGAAGACGGCUGCAGGAAUUUCUAUUAGAGAGCGACCAUCAACGGACUCUCGAGCUACUUCGGUUGCUAGUGUGGGUAACAAUCGCCAAGAAAAACCUGAAUGUCCACAAUGUGGAAGACGACACGUAGGUGAAUGUUGGGGUAAGUCUACUAACAGGGCCUGUUACAGAUGCGGUUCGAAGGAUCACUUCAUUAGAGAUUGCACGGAACUUGAUGAGAAAAAUAAGAUGCAAGGUGCAAGACCUAGUGGAACAACGACUAGAGGUAGACCAUCGAGAAUUUCAGGAGGUAGGGGUGGUAGUCAGAGAGGGACUUCUGAUGCGGCUGUUCGAUCUGAGACUCGUGCUCCUGCUAGAGCUUAUGCCAUUCGCGCACGAGAGGAGGCAUCCUCUCCUGAUGUUAUCACUAGUACUUUCACUCUCUUUGAUACUGAUGUGAUUGCAUUGAUUGACCCUGGCUCUACUCAUUCAUAUGUAUGUGAGACUUUAGCAUCCAGUAAGACUCUACCUGUUGAGUCUACUGAGUUCGUAAUUCGAGUGUCAAAUCCCUUGGGUCGAUAUGUACUUGUUGACAAAGUGUGUAAGAAAUGUCCUCUGAUAAUCCGAGAUUCCUAUUUUCCGGCCGAUUUGAUGCUUUUACUGUUUGAUGAAUUUGAUGUUAUUCUUGGUAUGGAUUGGUUGACCGUGCAUGAUGCAGUGGUGAAUUGCAAAAGAAAGACCAUUGAUUUGAGGUGUGCAAAUAAUGAGAUAGUCUGAGUUGAGUCUACUGACUUGAACGGAGUGCCAGAAAUAAUAUCCUCGAUGAUCGCUUAGAGAUAUAUGAGAAAGGGGAGUGAAGCAUAUCUUGCGUACGUACCUGAGCACAAAGAGUCGGAAAGGAAACUUGAAACGGUACCGGUGGUUCAUGAGUAUCCAGAUGUUUUUCCUGAGGAGUUACCGGGAUUACCACCCGUUCGAGAAGUAGAAUUUGGCAUCGAACUUGUACCUAGGACUACACCAAUUUCGAUAGCGCCGUACCAUAUGGCACCAAUCGAAUUAAAGGAAUUGAAAGCUCAGUUGCAAGAGUUGAUAGAUAGAGGUUUCGCUCGACCGAGUUUUUCACCAUGGGGUGCACCAGUAUUGUUUGUGAAAAAGAAGGAUGGGACCAUGAGGUUGUGCAUCGACUAUCAUCAGUUGAAUAAAGUGACAAUAAAGAAUAAAUAUCCGUUACCGCGUAUUGAUGAUUUGUUUGAUCAAUUAAAGGGAGCCUCAGUGUUUUCAAAGAUAGAUUUGAGAUCGGGUUAUUAUCAGUUGCGAGUUCGAGACUCAAAUAUACCUAAAAUUGCUUUCAGGACGAGAUACGGUCACUACGAGUUUUUAGUGAUGCCGUUUGGGCUCACUAAUGUCCCUGCGGUAUUUAUGGAUUUGAUGAACCGAAUUUUCAGGCAGUAUUUGGACCGGUUUGUAGUUGUGUUUAUAGAUGACAUCUUGAUUUAUUCACAUGAUGAAACUGAACACGCUGAGCACCUGAGAUUAGUGUUACAAAUUUUACGGGAUAAGCAGUUGUAUGCUAAGUUCAGUAAAUGUGAGUUCUGGUUGAGAGAAGUUAGCUUUUUAGGGCAUGUAGUAUCUGCAUCGGGAAUUCGAGUUGAACCGAGCAAAAUUUUAGCCAUACUUGAUUGGAAACCCCCGAGAAAUGUUACUGAAGUUCGAAGCUUUUUGGGGCUUGCUGGUUACUAUAGACGGUUUGUAAAGGGUUUCUCGAUGAUAGCCACACCAAUAACGAGACUACUUCAGAAAGAUGUUAGGUUUCAAUGGUCAGAAAAAUGUCAGAAAAGUUUCGAUCAGUUGAAAACUUAUUUGACUAAAGCUCCAGUGUUUGUGCAGCCCGAAUUCGGUAAAGAGUUUGUCAUUUACAGUGAUGCAUCUUUGCUUGGGCUAGGUUGCGUGUUGAUGCAAGAAGGUUGAGUAGUAGCUUACGUGUCGAGACAAUUGAAACCACAUGAGAAAAACUAUCCAACCCAUGAUCUUGAAUUAGCUGCCAUUGUUUUCGCUUUGAAAAUUUGGCGACACUACUUGUUUGGAGAGAGGUGUCAUAUAUAUUCGGAUCAUAAAAGCCUCAAAUACUUGAUGACUCAAAGAGAUUUGAAUCUGUGGCAAAGACGUUGGCUUGAGUUGUUGAAAGAUUAUGAGCUUGUCAUCGACUAUCACCCGGGAAAGGCUAACGUGGUUGCCGAUGCCUUAAGUCACAAAUCACUGUUUGUUUUACUAGCAAUGAAUGUACACCUGUCUGUUUCACCCGACAAUGUGUUGGUAGCAGAAUUAAAGGCCAAACCAUUAUUGAUUCAUCAAAUACGUGAAUCCCAGAAAGUUGACGAUGAAUUGGUUGCUAAACGAGUUGAAUGUGUUUCAAAUGUGGAAUCAGAGUUUAAAAUUGAUGAUGACGAUUGUUUAAGGUUCAGAAGUCGACUGUGUGUCCCAAGAGAUUCAGAACUUAUUUCUUUGAUUUUAAGCGAGGCUCAUAGUAGCCACAUGUCAAUCCACCCGGGUAGUACGAAAAUGUACAACGAUCUGAAACGUCAGUUUUGGUGGCCUGGUAUGAAACGAGACAUUUCUGACUUUGUUUCGAAGUGUUUGAUAUGUCAACAAGUGAAAGCGGAACAUCAAAUGCCUUUAGGGUUACUUCAGCCGAUCAUGAUACCCGAAUGGAAAUGGGAUCGAGUCACGAUGGAUUUUGUAUCUAGGUUGCCAUUGUCGUCAAGCAAGAAAGAUGCGAUCUGGGUUAUUGUUGAUAGACUGACAAAAUCGGCUCAUUUUAUUCCUGUACGUACGGAUUAUUCCCUUGACAAGCUAGCUGAAAUGUAUGUUUCUCAGAUUGUAAGGUUACAUGGAGUACCUAUUUCUAUUGUGUCGGAUAGAGAUCCGAGAUUCACAUCGCGAUUUUGGUUGAAAUUGCAAGAAGCAUUGGGUACCAGGUUACAUUUUAGCACCGCUUUUCAUCCCCAGACCGAUGGUCAAUCCGAACGGGUAAUUCAGAUACUCGAGGAUAUGUUGAGAUGUUGCAUCCUUGAGUUUAGUGGUUCAUGGGAACGGUAUUUACCUUUGAUUGAAUUCGCUUACAACAAUAGUUUUCAAUCAAGCAUUAAGAUGGCACCUUACGAGACUUUGUAUGGUCGUAAAUGCCGUACACCGUUGUUUUGGACCGAACUUAGUGAAAGUAAAGUCUUCGGGGUUGAUUUGAUUAGGGAUGCUGAGCAGAAAGUUCAAGUAAUUCGUGAAAGUUUGAAAGCCGCUUCGGAUCGUCAGAAGUCGUACGCAGAUUUAAAAAGAAAAGACAUUGAAUAUCAGGUUGGAGACAAAGUGUUUCUUAAAGUCUCACCCUGGAAAAAAGUGCUGAGAUUUGGCCAUAAGGGCAAAUUGAGUCCGAGGUUCAUUGGGCCGUAUGAAAUAUCUGAACGAAUUGGGCCAGUUGCAUACCGAUUAAUUUUACCCCUUGAACUUGAAAAGAUUCACAACAUCUUUCAUGUCUCGAUGCUUCGACGAUAUAGGUCCGAUCCAUAGCACAUAAUUGCUCCAUCUGAGAUCGAGAUUCAAUCUAAUUUGAACUACGAAGAAGAACCGGUUCACAUUUUAGCACGUGAAGUAAAAGAAUUACGAAAUAAAAAAAUAUCAUUAGUGAAAGUAAUGUGGCUUAAGCAUGGGGUUGAAGAAGCUACUUGGGAGCUCGAAGAAUCUAUAAAAGAACGUUAUCCGAAUUUAUUCGCUGGUAAGAUUUUCGGGGACGAAAAUUUUUAAGAGGGGGAGAGUUGUGACAGACCUAAUUUGACCCUAGUCAGAAUGUGGUUUCAGGACCACAAAACCGAGUCAUAAAAAUUUACUUUUAUUUUAAUUGCAUAUAUUUGAUGUGUAAUAGUGUGUGUAUGAAAAAUUAAUGUUUUAAUUUAUUCUUAGGAAUGUGAAUUUUCUUGAAAGGACUUAGUUGAGAAACUUAGAAAAGAUGAUAGGUAAAUUGUAAGGAUCAAAUAACAACAAGGUGAGAAAACUUGGGUUUGCAUGUCAAAUUGCGCAAAACUCAAGUAGUGGCCGGCCAAGCAAGGAUGGUUCUUCCACUAGGUUGAAUUUUUAAUGUAAUGCUUUUAUUAGUAAAUGGUUAAAAUAAAUUAAAGAAAGGAAAGAUGAAUAAAAUAAGAAAGCAAGAGAAAGCCUUCAUCUUCUUUCUUUUUCAACUGCCGUGAGCUAGGAGAAAGGAGGAAGAAAUGUUCUAAGACAUUCGGCCCUCCUAAGGGGUUGAUUAAGGUAGGAUUCAUGUUAUUUCUGUUAAAGUUUUUGUGAAAAUCUAGUUAGUAGCCAAUGUCUUAUUAUAUCCCAUAUGUUAAUUUUCUACCUAAAUAGGUAAUUAAAUGGCAUACGGUUAGGGAGAGGUAAAUGCUAAGAGUAUGGUGCUUUUGAUGUUGUGAAUGGAAAUAGUAGAAAGGUGAAAGAAAAUUUAGGUAGAAAUGUAGUUAUAUGUGGAUUUAUAUGAUGUUACAAAUAGAUGUGAAGCUAUGCUAGAUUAGGAAAAAUUCGGUCAAGUGUUCAUGAGAGGAAACUAUGAGUUUAAAAGAAUAAAAAUGAUAUUAUAAUUGAUAGUAUAUGUAUUCGGCCAUCUAAUUAAGUGUAUAGGUGAUGUUAAAUCUAAUUUUUGCACAUUCGGCUAUAUAAGUAUGCCCAUUUGUGAUAUUACCUUUGAUUGUAUAAAAUCGACUAAAAUGAGUAAUUAGUAAGGGCGGUUGCCUAAUAUACAAAUAUGUAUAUAUGUAUGUGUAAUUGGAUUAUUGAUAGUAAGGUGAUAUUAUAUGGUUAUUAGCCGAAUGGCUCAAAAGCAUAAGGUAGAAAGAUAAAAAUUUACUAUGUGUUUCUUAUGAUAUGAAAUCAUUACUAUUUUGAUAUAAAUAUUUAGCAAGACGGUUAAACUAGUUUAACUUAUUCGAUUAAGCUCAAGAAGUUAAAGGAGGGGAAUCAAGCAAGGGCAAAGCAAAGAACAUCGAGUAGCCGAGUUGGAACCAUUUUACCCAACACAAGGUAAGUCCUUAAGCAUUUUUGUAAGGUUGAUUAGUUUGUAUAUAAAUAAUACUAGUGAAUCAUAAAAGAAUUCCUUUUGAUGAGUAUUCUUUUGGAGUGAUUUUCCUAUUUAUUAAUGUGACCAUAUGUGCUAUUUGAAUUAAGUAAAUUGCCUCAUCAUAAUGAGUUAACAUACAACACUAUGUGUGCGGAAUUAAGUGGCACUAUAUGUGCCGAUUUGGAUGUUGAAGCAUGAGAGAAAAUCCAAUGAACUGAGUGUGCGGGUUACUAUGGCACUAUUUGUGCGAGUGUGGCGAGCACUAUGUGUGCAAAUACGGUUGAUAAUAUAAAGUGUGCAUGAAAGAAUGAAGUGGUAGAACUAGUAACUAAAAUAUCGAACUUGAGACAUGUGCUGAGUAGGUAUAAAUUUAUCUAGUGCAUCAUGAUUCCAUGCUUUGAGGAAUCAGGUCUGAAUCAAUGGGGUUGUUUUGGUAUUUGAUUUGAUUGUAGGACUUGGCAUGAGAUUGAAUCGAAAUUCUAAGAAAUUAUAGCAUAGUUCGGUAUGGUUGGAGUAACUGAUUUUGCAUUAUUUGCUUUCUCUUAUGAUCUUUUAUAAAUGGACGGUAUGUACGACUUAUGACUUACUGAGUUAUAUACUCAUUUGGUGUGUUUGUUUGUUACUUAUUUAGGUUUCUUUGACCCAUUUUGUGUGCUCGGGACCAUCGUCGAAGUCAUCACACCAGCUUGCAACUUUUUGGUACCCUCUUCUUAGUUGGUCUAAGAGAACAUUUCGGCAUGUAUAGGCUAUUAUGUUUUGUUUGAACUUUAAUAUGUAAACUUUUAGCCAUGCGAAUAUGGCUUAAAUGCUAAGUUUGGAUUUGGCCUCAUGGGUGCUUAGUUAUAAGGUUCAAUAAGUUUGGCCUUGAUAAUUCGGUUUUUAUUGAGUAAUAGUCUAAGUCUAUUUGAUUAUUAUGCCGUAUGUCAUGGCUGAUCAUUUUUGGUGUUACACUUAUGAUAUGGUUAUUGAGUAGUAUGGAAAUUCUUGGUAAUGACUAGCCAUUGGAAUGGCUAAUAAUGAUCAUAUUUGGUGUUAUGUAUGUCAAAUUACUAGCUAAUCCAUGGAAAUCAUGAAAUAGGUAAAUUUUUACCAUAAAAUAGAUUCAGACAGCAGUAGUGAUGUGAAUUUGAAAAAUCACUAGAAAUAGUAGAAAUGGAAUUAAAUAAUGAAUAGAUUAUGGAAUCGAAGCUUGAUGAGUCUAUUUUCAUAUGGAAGAAGCAAAAUAGGUAUAUGAGCUAUAAUUUAUGAGAUGUUUAAAUUUUUAUGAAACAGGGCCAGAGCGAUUUCUGGAUCCCCUGUUCUGACUUUGGAAAUUUACCAUAAAUUUUACGAAAAUAAUUAGAAGUCAUUCCUUAUAUUUACAAAUUAAUUAUUGAGUCUAGUUUUAUUAGAGACAAACGGCAUAGGCAUUGAAGCCCUGUACAUGGAGAUAUCUAAUUCGUAAUGCAUAGAGGUCAGAGUAGUCGAACCCUGAUACAGGGGAGACUUUAACUAAUAAACUGUACUAAUUGACCUGACCAAAAAUUCUACAAAUGUUUUUAUUAAAUAAAUAUAUGAGUCUAUUUUCAGGAAAAAAUUACGGAAUUGGAUUUCGAGUUACGGAACUCGAGAUAUGAUUUUUAAAGCGACUGUGAUGCAAUUAGCCAGCUUGUCUAGAAAAUUUUAAAAUGGAUUAUAUGAACUGUUUAAGUAAUGAAUUAAGCUCGUUAACACCUUGUGUUCGACUCCGACAAUGGUCUCGGGUACGGGGUGUUACAAUGUAGCAGUGGCUUGCUGGAAACCCAGAGCUUUUACUAGACAGGAUUCGACAAAAGGACUUAGUCAUAACAUAAAUAACAUAAAAAUGGAUUGUGCAAAAAUCCAUAGUUUUUUUAUUAUUAUUUAUUCUAGUUAUUCUAGUAAAAUAAAAAAUAAAUGGAAAUAAAAAGAAGUAGGAAGAAAGAAAAAGAAUAGAAAUAAUAUUUUGAUUCUAUAUCAUAGGAACGGAAAUAGGACUUCUUCCGCUUCUGAUUGUUGAUUCAAUGCAAUAACAAGAUUUUUUUGUUACAACAAGCCAGAUCGCAGAAUCAUAGAAAAAAUGAGUUAUUUGAGUUGAAAAUAAAAAAAUGAGCCCGGCCGGGUACUGCCCAGGCCGGUCCGUGGAAAUUGGAAAUUUUAAAGUCCCUUUUGCGCGAAAUCAAAG
rnacentral:lncRNA from 1 species